rnacentral:rRNA from 1 species
CCCUUAGAUGUCCUGGGCCGCACGCGCGUUACACUGAUGCAUUCAACGAGCUUAUAACCUUGGCCGAGAGGCCUGGGCAAUCUUGUUAACGUGCAUCGUGAUAGGGAUAGAUUAUUGAAAUUAUUAAUCUUGAACGAGGAAUUCCUAGUAAACGCAGAUCAUCAAUCUGCAUUGAUUACGUCCCUGCCCUUUGUACACACCGCCCGUCGCACCUACCGAUUGGAUGGUCCGGUGAAGCCUCGGGAUUGUGGUUUUUGCCGCUUUAUUGUGGCGUGACCGCGAGAACUUGUCUAAACCUUAUCAUCUAGAGGAAGGUGAAGUCGUAACA